AUCAACAUAAACCCUGUGCUAUUUCCAGAAUCCUCUCCUAUCAAUUUCAUCUGUUCAUUACAGGGAGCAAAAAUGUGGCUAAACUUUCUGUCAAUACUUGUAGUCCUCAAAGGAGUCCAAUCUCAAGUCCAGUUGGUGGAGUCUGGAGGGGCUGUGAGAAGACCUGGAGAGUCCCUCCAUCUCUCCUGCCAAGCCUCUGGAUUCCCCUUCUUCAUCUAUGCAAUGCACUGGGUGAGACAGGCUCCAGGGAAAGGACUGGAAUGGGUGUCAUGGAUAACCCAGACUUCUAGCACUUACUAUUCUGACAAAGUGAAGGGGCGCUUCACCAUCUCCAGGGACAACGACAAAAGCCAGCUGUAUCUGCAAAUGAACAGCCUCAAAACUGAAGACACAGGAGUCUAUUACUGUGCAAGAGACACAGUGAGAGGAAGUGAAUCAGAAGUAGCACAAGCCUUUAAGUCGAGGUAG